rnacentral:rRNA from 1 species
UUAACCGGACCACUCUAUAAUGUAUAGAUAAACCCAUGUUAAAACUAGUAAUAAGAAAAUUUCUCACAGCACAAGCAACUCUAACAGACCAAACAAGUAAGCUACAAUAAAAUUAUUAAACCAAACAACUUAACUGUAGACCCAACCAAGGAGUGCAAUAAGGAAGAUUAAAAGCCAUAAAAGGAACUCAGCAAUAAAAAUCUCAACUGUUUACCAAAAACAUUGCCUUUAGCAUAAAGUAUUAAAGGUAACGCCUGCCCAGUGAUAAUUUAAACGGCCGCGGGAUCCUCCACCGUGCAAAGGUAGCAUAAUCACUUGUCCCCUAAAUAGUGACUAGUAUGAACGGCCAAAUGAAGAUUUUACUGUCUCUUAUAGCCAAUCUAUGAAACUAAACUAUCAGUACAAAAGCUGAUAUAUUAUCAUAAGACGAAAAGACCCUGUGGAACUUCAAGCAUAACCCACUACAAUGGCCCAUCUGCUUUUAGUUGGGGCAACUUUGGAAAAAAACAAAACUUCCAAUAAAAUUAAAGAUUAACACAUCUACAUAGUACACUACCUGACCC